CACACACAACCCUAACCCUUCUCCCUCUUCUCUCUCGGCGGUAUCGCCGCUCCACUAGGUCGCCGGAGCACCGUUCGCCGCCACUUCGUCGGGUCGCUGCUGUCUCGCCGUCAACGCCGCCAGCUAUUGACCGGCGGCAAGCCCUUGCUGCUGUCGUCGCGCGAGAAAUUGGGGGAAAACAGCGCCUCUGCAAUUCCCUCUUCGUUCAUCCCUCGUUCAUUCUCGGCGACUCAGCGCCGUCGCCGGCAUCUCCGGCUGAGGCAGACGCUGCUUGGUCUAUAUGAUGACAUGAAAAUUUGAUUGGGAGAAAGGGUGAGGUGUAUUACCUCUUGAAGUAGUGAAGGAAUGGGCUGCCUUUGUUGCUGCUCACUACUUGCUCCACCCUCAAACUCUCUGUUUUGCUGAAAUUUCUUGCGGUGUGGAAGAGGGUUCAUAUGUGGUGUGGAGGGUUUUUAUAGGCAGAUUUUUGAGGUACUAUGGGGAAUUAAUUUGGGCUGUUAUACUACUUUGUUCUCAUCUUGCAGGAGAUCCCCUUUGACUAUGAUUCUGCAGCAAGAUAUACUUGAGAAUUGGCUCUAUUUGAGUACCUAGUACUUGGCUAUUAACUCCCAUUGUUUGCUUGUGGCUGGUGAGAAACAGGUGCUGCAUUAGGGUGGAGAAUUUGCAGGCUGGACUUGCCCCUUUUGGGUGAGAGAGAAAUCUUGGCUACUACCUAGCUGUACCUCGAGCGGGCCUGGGUUCGUUGUCUGGGCCGACGGGCUGCUCGAAACGGGCCCUAAUUUGGGCCUGGAGAAAAGGCCCGAAGUGCACCCAAAAUUUUAUAUUUUCCUUUCCUUGUUUUCUUUCUUUGAGGACUUUGAUCCAUGUAACCUAUUUUAUUAGUUGUUCAUUUUAUUGAACA